rnacentral:rRNA from 1 species
UACGUAGGGUGCAGGCGUUAAUCGGAAUUACUGGGCGUAAAGCGUGCGCAGGCGGUCUAUUAAGACAGGUGUGAAAUCCCCGGGCUUAACCUGGGAACUGCGCUUGUAACUGAUAGGCUGGAGUGUGGCAGAGGGGGGUGGAAUUCCACGUGUAGCAGUGAAAUGCGUAGAGAUGUGGAGGAACACCGAUGGCGAAGGCAGCCCCCUGGGCUAACACUGACGCUCAUGCUCGAAAGCGUGGGGAUCAAACAGG